rnacentral:piRNA from 1 species
UCCUCUAGACGCUCUCGUUUC